ACAACAAACUCAACAUAAGUGUUGAGACUGAAAACGAUAAUUAGACAGAGCUAGAAAAAAACACAGAUAGCGCUACAUAAAAAUUUCCGACUUUUGAAAACUGGGCCAGAAUUCUAGUAGCGCAGUAAAUUGUUGUUUAUGUCACUUAUAAGUAGAUACGGUGAAUAUGCAAAAUAUUAAGUGUUAAAUAUUCAAACAUUCAAUGCGCCAUGUAAGGUGUUUUAGCAAACAAAUUACGACGGGAAAAAAUUCCUGGUAAAUGGUUUUCUUCUGACAUCGUAAGUUUCAUACUACUUCACUUUGAAGAAGCGUAAAAUUAUUUGCUAAUGAUUCCUAUGAGAUACAUGCGUCCCCAUACACAGAAGAUGGCAUUCAGAGGUAGAUAGUUUGCGAAAUUGUGGCCCUCUUCACCAAAUUGAAGAAUUUAAAAUAGUAUUCACAGUGGGAAUUUCUCUCUCUCUCUUGGGUUCUGUUUUCUAUUCCAGUAAUCCCAGGAAUCCAAAUCGGUUUAUUUUUGGACUAUUGACGCUGGAUGUGAUACAAAACCUGCAACCGAUCUGGUUCCGUCUUGAUCCACCGUGACCCCUGAUGUAUAUUGCACACUCGUGCACCAAGUAAGUAAGCGCACAACUUUCAUGUAGAAAUUGCGAUUCUCUUUACUCGAGCAAUUUUGCUUUUAGCACAUAACAGAUGCACUUCAUAGGUAUCGGUUAAUAGAUAUCGGCUGCGUAUGCCUCUUGAGAUGCGUCUGUGAAACAAUGAAUGUCUGUGUUUGAGCACAAAGAUAAUGCUGGAUCUAAAAAUAGUUGUUAAUAGGUACCACUUGUAAGGUUCCGCGGCUAUCACGGUUCCAAUGCGCUCAGGAUGGCGAACUAAAGGACAUUUUUCUAAUGUCUUGUCGCCUAGAGUGCCUAAAAGAUGUGAUAUAAAGAAACAAAUUGAUGUCAAAGCAAAGCAAAGUUCGCAU